GAUGAACGCUAGCUACAGGCUUAACACAUGCAAGUCGAGGGGCAGCAUGAAAGGAACUUCGGUUCUUUUUGAUGGCGACCGGCGCACGGGUGCGUAACGCGUAUCGAACCUGCCUCAUACUCGGGGAUAGCCUUGCGAAAGUAAGAUUAAUACCCGGCGGUAUAAUAUUUCCGCAUGGGAUUAUUAUUAAAGAAUUUCGGUAAAAGAUGGGGAUGCGUUCCAUUAGGCAGUUGGCGGGGUAACGGCCCACCAAACCUUCGAUGGAUAGGGGUUCUGAGAGGAAGGUCCCCCACAUUGGAACUGAGACACGGUCCAA
rnacentral:rRNA from 1 species